AAACUUUCAACAACGGAUCUCUUGGUUCUCGCAUCGAUGAAGAACGCAGCGAAAUGCGAUAAGUAGUGUGAAUUGCAGAAUUCAGUGAAUCAUCGAAUCUUUGAACGCACAUUGCGCCUCCCGGAAUCCCGGGAGGCAUGCCUGUCCGAGCGUUACU
rnacentral:rRNA from 1 species